rnacentral:rRNA from 1 species
UACGUAGGGCGCAAGCGUGUCCGGAAUUAUUGGGCGUAAAGAGCUCGUAGGCGGCUUGUCACGUCGAUUGUGAAAGCUCGGGGCUUAACCCCGAGUCCUGGCAGUCGAUACGGGCUAGCUAGAGUGUGGUAGGGGGAGAUCGAAUUCCUGGUGUAGCGGUGAAAUGCGCAGAUAUCAAGGAGGAACACCGGUGGCGAAGGCGGAUCUCUGGGCCAAUUACUGACGCUGGAGGAGCGAAAGCGUGGGGAGCGAACAGG